CCUCUCUUGGUCAUGUGAGGAUACAACAAGAAGGCAGCAAACUACAACCCAGGAAGCAGGUCCUCGCCAGACAGGAUUUACCAGUGCUUUGAUCUUGGACUUCCAGUCUCCAGAAAUUUUACCAGGCUGUUACUCAAAAUUCACUCUCCAGCCCUGCUUUGGAGCAGUUGGGAACUUCAGCAUUUUGAUCCACCUUUUUGGAGCCACCUCAUGUGAAAGAUGGAUGAGACCUUCGUCAGCAAACCUGUCUACGUAGGAGCUGGUAUGAGGAUCACACAAUGCAAGCAAAUAAAAUGAGAAAAGAUGAUUCAACAAGAGGCUUCACUGAUUUACUGUUUAACUGCUUUGACCAAAGUGCUUGGUUCUUAUAUGAAUAAGAAAGGGGAUGAGUUAUCCACCAGAAUGAAAGUUAUAUUCUGGUUUGAAGCUUCUGCUGUCAGAUAAUAUAGUUUUCUAUAGUGUGGAAGAACAGCAUCAUCUUCAAGCAAGGUGGAAUUAAGCAUGGACAGAACUGUGUUUCUCACCCAGGAGGAGGUAUGAAAGUUUUCAAGACGCCUACAAGUGGAAAAUGCACUCCUCCCAGCCAAAUCAAGCUUCGCCAGAUUCCUUACAGCUGUGUGCAGUGAAAUGACUAAUGAAAGAGCCCUCUGCUGCUGGUGGAACUUUCACAUAUGGCACUGUUAUGCCACUCAGCAGGACCCGACCCUGGUAUUUACAUAUUGGAUGUCACCCCAAAAGCCCCUGACCAGGGGGUUUCCGGGAUGUAAUAAGAAUGCCACUCUGGGCUUUGGAAGGUGCACCGUAUGCACACCCAUACUAUAGGGCAGGGGUUAGCAUUUCAGACCCCUGUUCCUCCCUUGACAAGCAAGUGCUUUUCUCCAGGGAAGACGUUCAGGUUCAUUCAUAGAUCCAUUGGUGCCGUGGGCAGCUCAGUAACAAUAGCUCUGCUGCCUACCAGCUGCUGGUGGAGGUGUUGAGAAUACCUAAUGAGGAAGUCAGGGCCCCUGCGUGCUUCAGCAGAGCUGGAUGCCUGGCAUGGCAAUCAAUGGACACAAACCUUUGGAUAAUUUCCGUCCUUGGCGGUGUGUUCUAUAGCAUAGGUAUGAAGUGGGUGCUCUGGGAGCUCAGAAGAGGGGCUCUUCUCUUAACUUAUGGGUGGCCAGGGAAGGCUUCCUGGAGCUCAAAUGACUGAGUGGAGUCUUCAACAUUAAAAAAAAAAAAAAGAAAAAAAAAGUGCUUCCCUCCCACCCCCAGUUAAAAAGGUAAUACACCUCAUUGAAAUAAUUUAAACUUUACAGAAAUGUGUUCCUUUAAAGUUCAGAGAGUAAAGAGGAAGUAAUAAAGCUGAAAUAGUAGAAUUUCUAA
ensembl:lncRNA PRDX6-AS1 PRDX6 antisense RNA 1